UACGUAGGGGGCAAGCGUUGUCCGGAAUCAUUGGGCGUAAAGAGCGUGUAGGCGGUCCGGUAAGUCGGCUGUGAAAGUCCAGGGCUCAACCCUGGGAUGCCGGUCGAUACUGCCGGACUAGAGUUCGGAAGAGGCGAGUGGAAUUCCCGGUGUAGCGGUGAAAUGCGCAGAUAUCGGGAGGAACACCUAUGGCGAAGGCGGCAUCCUGGACCGGCAUUGACGCUGAGGCGCGAAAGCUAGGGGAGCAAACGGG
rnacentral:rRNA from 1 species